rnacentral:rRNA from 1 species
UACGUAGGGCGCAAGCGUUGUCCGGAUUUAUUGGGCGUAAAGAGCUCGUAGGCGGUCUGUCGCGUCGGCUGUGAAAACUUGGGGCUCAACCCCAAGCCUGCAGUCGAUACGGGCAGACUAGAGUGCGGUAGGGGAGACUGGAAUUCCUGGUGUAGCGGUGAAAUGCGCAGAUAUCGGGAGGAACACCGGUGGCGAAGGCGGUUCUCUGGGCCUUACCUGACGCUGAGGAGCGAAAGCGUGGGGAGCGAACAGG